rnacentral:rRNA from 1 species
UACAGAGGGUGCAAGCGUUGUUCGGAAUUAUUGGGCGUAAAGCGCGUGUAGGCGGCAUGGCAAGUCGAGUGUGAAAGCCCCGAGCUUAACUUGGGAACUGCGCUCGAAACUACUUGGCUGGAGUGUGGCAGAGGAAGGUGGAUUCCACGUGUAGCGGUGAAAUGCGUAGAGAUGUGGAGGAACACCGAUGGCGAAGGCAGCCUUCUGGGCCAACACUGACGCUCAUGCACGAAAGCGUGGGGAGCAAACAGG